rnacentral:lncRNA from 1 species
AAAAAAAAAAAAAAAAAAAUAAAGAUAAUAAUACAAUUCAUAGUUUUGUAAGAUAUUGCAAAAAUGGUUUAUGUUGCAGAAUAAUUUCAACAGGAGUAUCAGGGGAGAAUAGCGGCUAUUCUCCAAAUUAGGAAAUGAAGUAGUAAUAAUAUUUUUAAACCCUCAAGGAUUUUUAGCUCUCUGCUUGUCCCUAAUAAUAGUCCAUUAUAUAGUACUUAUGUACAUUACUUUAUCCCAAAUAAUAUACCUUCAAGCUGUGUUGCUGUUUUCCUGGAUAUGUAAUGGUCUGAGUAAUUUUUUGUUGGGAAAAAAAAAAUCUUAUCCUUCCUCAUCUCUAUCUCCCAUUGCCCUCAUACAAUCUAUUAUUUUCUCAACUUGUUUGCACAGACUACCUGAAAGGUAGUGUAGGAACAGUCUUUUCUUAACCUUUUUUUAUAUGUGGUUAAAAGUACGUCUGCUUGCUGGUUGGUUGGUUGAGUCUUGUUUGCAUCUGCUGUUGCUUUUUAACCAAUGUAAACUGUUGCCCUGCAGGAGUCAGAGUAGUAUUUUCUUUUUCCUUAUUCAAAAUAUUUUUUGUUUUUCUUUUCCCCUUGAUGUAGUCAGUGCUCUUCAGUAUUUUCUGAAAGUUGCAGUGUGCCCACAGGGAUGGCUGCAUCGUUCCCAGUGAUGAUGCCUGAGAAGGAAAAACAGCUGAGAGUUUUAAAUCUGCUGAGUUUGAGAAAUGUGGAAAUAUCUUUGUGUUUCAACUGGGCACUUUUUUUAAAGCGAGUCAUUGAAGGACUAAUCAUGAAGCCCCAAAAGGGCAUGUUUUGUCACUUUGUGAAAUAGAAUAGCACUAUGUAUUCACUUAAUGAGUGAAUCUGGUUGAUGGCAAAGUCUCUUUUGUUCCUUGCUUCCAUCCUUCCUUCCUCCCCUCUUCAUUUGGCCUACUCUUGGGUUGUACCUGGAUCUCAGAAGUACUGAACAUGUAUUUAGGAAAAAAGACUACCGAUAACUAGUAGUUAUUCCUUCAGUGCUACCAUCAUUGGAAGGAGUUUUUCACUUUGUGUUCAUGAUCACUUUUACUACUCGCAUCUGUUUUGUACAGCUAAGCUGUUCGAUGGUAGUAAAAUAAGUCAGCAUAUGCUUUAUAGGAGGGCAUUUGGAUUUGAUUAUCAAGUGUUGUGUAGAUAAGCUUCUAGGUUCCAAGUAGGACCAAUGAUACGAAAAUCGCUAUUUCCAUGAUAUCUUUCUGAACAGAAACGUAAUGGAAGCUGUACAUAGUCUUCCUAGUACAGAUUCAUGUUUUUCUUUGUAAUGGUGAUUCUGCAUACAGGUAGGCUCAGCGAUUGCAAAAGCUGAUUGCUCUGCAGCGAGAAAUCUGUUGUGUAUCACAAGGUUUUCAUCAUUAACUUAACUGAAACUAGUUUCUCAGACAAAAAAUGGGGAGUUAUUCUUUUUCCUUUUUUUUUCUUUUCUGCUGACACCUAUUUCAGAAUUUAUGCUUCUUAAGGAUAUUAUUCAUCAGUAAAGUGGUUUACCUAUGUUUUGGUGUAAACUUCACUGUUUAAAGCAAGACUAAAACGGUUCUUCUCUCCUAUAUCUCCAAUUUUAUCUGUGUAGAUGUAACUGCUUUGAGGUUUUAAUGCCGACAUCCAUCAUAAAUGUUUAACUUGUUGUCUACCCAGCGGAUGACAUGUGUACCUUCUUCUGCAUGUUCACCUUUUCCAAACUUUUCUGAAGGUGCUGUGUUAAAUUGUUUAGGAGGGGAGGAUUUUCUUAAGGCUAUUCCUUCUCUGUAGCAGUAACAAAAUUUUAAAGGCUAAAAUGCAAAGCUCCAAAGGGAAAAAUAUGUCUUCUAUUUGCUGUUGAGCACAGUUAUUGAGUGUAGUUUCUGUGAAGCCUUUUUUUUUCUUUUUCCUGAAAACCAGUCAAAGCUUCUAUAAAAAAGGCAUUUUCAAUGUAGUGCAGCGUCAUGAUAAGAUCCUUAAAGGUAAAGGUUGGAUUGCUUGGAUUAAUAAUCAAGCUUUCCUGACUGUAGUUCUGGACAAGGAAAUAAUUCCUGAUUCUUUCAGACAUUUUUUGCUGACGUUGCUUUGGGAUAUGAUCAUCUUACCUGACAAAGUCUGGUUGCCGAUUUCAUUAACAAAAUCAAUCAGAGAAAUAAUCAAGGAAUGACUCACUUCUGAAAAUGAAAAUUAGUCUUCCAAGCAAUGUAAAUGCUCUUGGACCUUCUAGUAGCCAGAUUGCCUAUUGAUCUCAUGAUCUGUGGAUCGCUGUAUCUCUUAGAUAAGUGCAUGCCUCCAAGGAACUGCUUGAUAUUUAACACUGGAUUUCAACAGUGAACUUAACUUCCCCGCCUUCCUCCCUAUCCUUGCAUUUUCUUGAUGUUUCAGAAUUUAUCAGCUAAACUUGUGUAAUUAUCACUCAGAGGAUCAUAUUCUCAUAAAAAGAGCUGCAUCUCUGGAUUUUUACUGGUGCCGGAUCAUCUUAGUCAUCUGACUAUAAUUUCCAUCUGUGCAUCUUUUCAUGUUCUUAGUGAGAUAUUUAGAAAGCCAAGAAAAAUUAUGUGACUAGCCUCCCAGCUGAAUCAUUGUAUUUUAUGCUGAAUAUAAAUGCUGUCACAGGAAAUGCGAGAUACUAACUCAGGUCUUUUUGAAUGAUUGAAGGAGGAAGAGGAUUUGUAAACAGUUUGCAAUGUAAUCAUGGAAUCUUUAUCCAGACACUUUUAUUAUUUAAUGAUGACAAUUUUUUAUAAAAAAAAAAAAAUUAUAAAAAAAAUUGUAGUAAUUUUUGUGGUUUUGUUUUGUGUUUCUUUUCUACUCGGUUUUGUGACCAAGAAGAUUGCCUUAAUGUAAGUUAUGUUUUGCAGAAAUUGUCAAGGUGUGGUAGUUCUUAUGCCUCAUUGUUACUAUUCCAUAAUGUUCCAUAUGUGUUAAUAAUGAUGCAUCUUGUUAUGAAAAAUGGUUCAUACAUAUUUUUAGAGAAGAAGUAAAAUGGACUGUAUUAAUUUAAGUGUAAAGUGGACUUGUUUUACUUGUUCAGCUACAUCAAAAACAAAAAGCCAUAAUGAAAUAAUGGAAAUUUGAAGAGGUUUCAAUAUUUUUUAAUUGGAUUAAAUGUUGCAUUUUCCCCUUAUGGUGAUGCCCCAUAUCCUGAUAGAACAUUGCAGGCCUGGUAGCCAAAAUUUAACUGUAUAUAUUUGGCUUUGGCAGCCAAAAGGUUAACAAAACAUUUUGUUUAAUCUUAGACAAAUAGAGAGAAAUUUUAAUCUUUAUUUUUUCCUCUUGUUUUUCUGUAGGCUCAAAAUGAAUAAACAAUGCCCUUUUAAAAGUAUGACUCAUUCAGAAGUACACCUUAAAUGAGGAAUUGUUCAUUUAAUUGAAGUAAUUCCUUUGCCAGGCUUUGUAUUGAUGUGUACAAAUUAAUCUGUUUUUAUUCAUGGUACAAGACUUGUAGGAUUUUCCUCAAGAUAAAA